UCUCUGGAGGACCAGUGGUUAGGCCUUGGUGCUCUCACCACCACGGCCUGGGCUCGAUUCCCUGCCAGGGAA
rnacentral:tRNA from 1 species